AAGAUUUUAUCCAUGACUUAGAGCUGGUUGAAAUCAAGAGUAAAGAUUCUUUUUAUUCUUAGAAUAAUAAAGGUCAUGUCACUAGUAGAAAAAGAUAAAUAGGCACCGACAAAUACCCACCGGUAUUGAAAACCGGUGGUAAAAAUGCAAGACUAGACAAAAAAAAUAAAACAAGUUUAAUAACCGGUGCCCUUUUCCCAAAUAUAUAAAUAACCCCUAAAAUUAGAACACUCACGCUCUCUCUCCUCACCUCUCUACUCUCGAACUCUCUCGUUCUCUCUCCUCACUCUUCACUCUCCUGUUUCCUCUCCCCUCUCUCCUCUCAAACUCUAUGUCUCCUCUCUCUUCUCGCGCCACCGCAGCCACCACCAACGCAACCAUCCUCUCUCUCCUCUUUCUCCAUCAUAGCUUCCCACCACAGCCACCACCAGUGCAACCCUCCUCUCUCUCCAUCCUAGCUUCCCACCACCAGCCACCACCACCGCAGUCGUCACUAAUGGAGAUGUUAAAGCAAGCCCUUAAAAAACUAGGAGAACGAUGCCUAGAUCUCUACUGGCAACGCUGCUCCUCACAAGGUUUAUCCCUCCUUUUUUUUUGUUAAUUUUGUAAAAUUUGGGUUAGGGUUUCAAUUUCGUUGAGUUUUUGGAUUUUGAUUUUGGAUUUUGUGAUUUGGUUGUUGUUUUUUAGUUUGAAUUUGUAUGUGAUGUUUGAUUUUGUCCCUUUUUUUGAUUUUGAGUUUUCGCGGCAUACUCAAACAAAGGUAUCAUCGUCAAAAAAUCAUCGCUUAAUGAGUUAAUUCUAAUGUUAUCUAGUUAAAAAUGUGUUGAUUUUGCUUCAAUUUGGUUUAAUCUUUUAGGUAUUCGGAUUUCAUUGCAAUUGUGAUGAAGUUGAUUUGGAUGGAAAUGUUGUGCAUUUAACUUCAUUGCAUGUUUCUCCUGAGUCGGCUGAGAAUAAGGAAGAUAUUGUAGCUGAGCAAUCAGAUGAAAGUUACACUGAAGAGUGAAGAAGGCUUGAGCAAGAGUCAGGGUUUUUCUUCAAUAUGAAAUACUUUGAGGAGAAAGUGCAAGCAGGGGAGUGGGAUGAGGUUGAAAAGUAUUUAUCUGGGUUUACCAAAGUGGAUGACAACAGAUAUUCAAUGAAGAUAUUCUUUGAGAUUAGGAAGCAAAAGUAUCUCGAAGCUCUUGACCGGCAAGACAAGUCCAAGGCGGUUGAGAUACUUGUUGGUGAUUUGAAAGUAUUUUCGACAUUCAAUGAAGAGCUCUACAAGGAAAUCACAUAGUUUUUAGCUCUAACUAACUUCAGGGAAAACAAGCAGCUUUCAAAGUAUGGUGACACCAAAACUGCUCGUAACAUAAUGUUGGUAGAGCUUAAAAAGCUGAUAGAAGCAAACCCGCUUUUCCGUGACAAGUUGGUGUUCCUGACUCUGAGAUCGUCAAGACUGCGUACACUAAUUAAUCAAAGCUUGAAUUGGCAGCAUCAGCUUUGUAAGAAUCCCAGACCAAACCCUAAUAUCAAGACGUUGUUCACUGAUCAUACGUGAACUCCUCCAAAUAGAGCUGUUGCACCUGCUCUUGUAACUCUUCCAGUUGCUGCUGUUGCAAAGCCUGCUGCUUAUACGCAGCUAAGAGCUCAUGGUGUAUGUUGUCUACAAUCAUUUGCUAGUUUGUUUGUUUGUUUUUUUUACUUUUUUUUUUCUUUUUGAAGUUUGCUUUGGAUUUGUAAAAUAGCUUAUGGUGAUAUGUAAACCUGUUGUUCAUGUGACCUUUAAAUCCCAAGGCCUAGAGGUUUAAACCUGCUGCUGCAACUGCUGCCUCGCAAGGCUUUAACAUUAUGCAAGGCUGCUGCUGCCUCCGCUGCCUCGCAAGGCUUAUGCAAGGCUGCUGCUGCUGCAGCCACUGCCUCGCAAGGGGGCUGUUGUUGCAUGCUUCUAUGCUCCUGCUGCUGUUCUGGUCUACGCUACUGCUUCUAUGCUCCUGAUGCUGCUGCUAUGCUCUACGCCACUACUGUUCUACUCUCGCUGUAGCUAAUCUGCUCUACGCUACUGUUGUAAUAUUAUUACAGUCUGUCUAUUGAUAAUAUAAAACUAUUUUCUGUAAAUUUUUUUUUGAAUUAAAAUUGUCAUGUACUCAUGUUACAGCUUUAUAUUAAUGAAAAUA